ACUCAAUUACAUGCAAAUUUUUACUCUUCUACUGUCUCCUGAUUCGUGGAAAAGAAAUUCAAAUGUUCCCGCCCUUGUGCGUCUACUUCAAGCUUUCCUUCAGAAAGCACCACAUGAGCUCAACCAAGAGGGGAGGCUCAGCCAGGUGCUUGGGAUAUUCAACAGGCUUGUGGCAUCCCCAAGUACUGAUGAACAGGGCUCUCAACACUGUGAUUGAGAAUCUUGACUAUGGUGUGAUUGCUCCCUACAUGGUUCACAUCUGGAAUGCCCUUUUUACACG
rnacentral:misc_RNA from 1 species